CACUGCACCAGCUGCGGGGUCCUGCACAGGGAUAUCAAACCAGAGAACAUCCUGGUUGACCUGGCCACCGGGCAGGCAAAGCUGAUCGACUUUGGCUGUGGCACCUACCUGCAAGACACAGCCUACACUCACUUUGCAGGAACACCAUCAUACAGCCCCCCGGAAUGGACCCGCUUUGGCUGGUACCAUGGCGAGCCAGCUACCAUCUGGUCCCUGGGCAUCCUGCUGCACCAGAUGGUCUGUGGGAAGAUGCCUUUCAGGAGGGGCUGGAACUUCAGCUGGGGCCAGCUCUCGCUGCCACAACGGCUCUCUCCAGAGUGCCAAAAUCUGAUUGGGUGGUGUUUAUCCAUGCACUCCUUGGCCAGACCCUCAUUAGAAGAGGUGUUCUGUCAUCCUUGGAUGCAGGAUAUUCCUCUGCCAUAGAAGAAGGGAGAGAGCCACAGGCACACUUUGAUCCAGGGCCCUGGGAAGGAGAAGGAGCUCCCAGAGAAGCUGUACCAGGAGUGGGGCUGCUGCUGCAGGAGACAGCGAGGAUGACAUCAAGGAUGACAACCUCUCCCUGGACCUGGCCACCAGCAGUUGAAGAGGAAGCAUUCUAGGUGGUCCAGUCUGGAUUGGGAAGUGCUUGGGACCAGCUGCAGCGUGGAUGGGCCAUGCCCUUGGAGCAGGCUGAGGACAUCGUUUGGGACCAGCUUUUCUUCCAGCCGUGGAUGGCGUGAGCCAGGCUCUGCAGAUGCUGAGGCUGCUCUGGGCUCUGCCAGGGCUCUGCUGGAGCUCAGCACGGGGCCAGAAUCAACCAAAGAAGAAAUGGUGUCACCUGCAGCACAGACUUGCUUGAGCAUUUUGGCAACACAGCUCAAGUUUGCAGAGUGUACGCCUCCAAGGGAAAACAUGACACCUCCCAAAAAUUAAACUUGUUCAAUACCUUCUGAAAUCAAAUCAAUCUGGGAUGACUCCAAAUGACAUUUUUCAGCUUUCUCAAGAUGUAGCUCAGCCCUUCUCUGAACAGUUCUCUCCCCCACCUGCCUUUUACUUCUCAACUGCUCCCUUUUUUCCCCCAGUGAAUU